CAAUAGCGUAUAUUAAAGUUGUUGCGGUAAAAAAGCUCGUAGUUGGAUUUCUGUUGAGAGCGACCGGUCCAUACCAUGUAUGCGUAUCUGGCUUGCUCUCGGCAUCCUCUCGAUAGACGUUACUGCGCUUGAUUGCGUGGUGCGGAUCUCGGGACUUUUACUUUGAGGAAAUUAGAGUGUUCACGGCAGGCUUUCGCCAGAAUACAUUAGCAUGGAAUAAUACUAUAGGAUCUUGGUUCUAUUUUGUUGGUUUCUAGAAUUGAGAUAAUGAUUAAUAGGGACAAUUGGGGGCAUUCGUAUCAACACGUCAGAGGUAGAAUUCUUGGAUUGUGUUGCGACGAACUACUGCGAAAGCAUUUGCCAAGGAUGUUUUCAUUGA
rnacentral:rRNA from 1 species